AAUGGAAGAUACAAAUGGCAAUAAUAAAUGCAAUCGAUCAGAACAAAAAUUUCAUUUCAAAAGCAAUUACAUAAUCAAAACAAUUGAAAAGAAAAUUUCUUUGUACAAAGACCAUUAAAGUAUCAAUUCCUUGACCAGAAAAUGUAUUAAAGGGCAUUAACAAGAAUCCAAUUCUCCACAUGUAGGUUCAUUAAAAUUGUUGCAAAACCAUUCAUGAGAGAAGAUCCAAAUCCAAUACCUCUGUACUCCAAUAUUUAAGAGAUCAAAGACUCAGAUUUCAACGGAUUACACUGCUGGGACUUUCAAAGCUAAUUGACAUAAUCUUAAUAACAUAGCAUUUGUUUAGUUUAUGAAACCAUCUUAUAUGCUAUAACUUCGCAUAGGGAAACACACAAUAUAAAAGGCAAUGGCCACAACAAUAUUAUUUUCAUAAAAUUUUUAAGAACCUGCACAAAAGUUGAAUCUUUAUUAUCACAAAGCAUAUACUACAAAUUCUAGGAUACCCAAAAACAUGCGGAUUUUCAGAAAACUCAAACUAAUGUAUAAAAAAAGAAAAGAAAAGUAGUCUGUUCUACAGUGGAUGGUCUAAUUAUAACAAAGAUUCAAGGAAAAAAGACACUAAAUUUCUUAAAGCUGCUUGCAUGCUCAAUACAAAUGGGUAUAUAAUUCCAUAAAUAAUCUUCCGAGCUAAAACAAAAAAACAAGAAGCAAGAGACCGAAAAGACUCACCAAAGAACUGAGUAAAGAUGUGGGUGAAGAAGCUCAAGUUGCGA
rnacentral:misc_RNA from 1 species